UACGUAGGGGGCUAGCGUUGUCCGGAAUCAUUGGGCGUAAAGCGCGUGUAGGCGGCCCGGUAAGUCCGCUGUGAAAGUCCAGGGCUCAACCCUGGGAUGCCGGUGGAUACUGUCGGGCUCGAGUCCGGAAGAGGCGAGUGGAAUUCCUGGUGUAGCGGUGAAAUGCGCAGAUAUCAGGAGGAACACCAAUGGCGAAGGCAGCUCGCUGGGACGUGACUGACGCUGAGACCCGAAAGCGUGGGGAGCAAACAGG
rnacentral:rRNA from 1 species